CACAAACACACGAAUGGAAACCAAGCCAUUAUAUCAGAAUAUUAAUUCAUAUAUGCACCAUUCUAUCAACAUAACACAUCCACGUGCCUGACCAUCAAGUCACCACCAAGCCAUCCUUGACCUCUGAACUCAGAUACAGGUAAGAGGUAAGCCAAACAGUCUGUCACCAUGACAACAGCUCUAGGAAUCAGAACCUCUGCUGAAAUGGCCACCUAUCUGGUAAGAGGUAAGCCAAACAGUCUGUCACCAUGACUACAGCUCUAGAAAUCAGAACCUCUGCUGAAAUGGCACCUAUCAGGUAAGAGGUAAGCCAAACAGUCUGUCACCAUGACUACAGCUCUAGAAAUCAGAACCUCUGCUGAAAUGGCACCUAUCAGGUAAGAGGUAAGCCAAACAGUCUGUCACCAUGACUACAGCUCUAGAAAUCAGAACCUCUGCUAAAAUGGCACCUAUCAGGUAAGAGGUAAGCCAAACAGUCUGUCACCAUGACUACAGCUCUAGGAAUCAGAACAUCUGCUGAAAUGGCCACCUAUCAGGUAAGAGGUAAGCCAAACAGUCUGUCACCAUGACGACAGUUCUAGAAAUCAGAACCUCUGCUAAAAUGGCCACCUAUCAGGUAAGAGGUAAGCCAAACAGUCUGUCACCAUGACUACAGCUCUAGAAAUCAGAACCUCUGCUAAAAUGGCCACCUAUCCGACUAACAUCAAACACCCCAAAAAUAAACAAGCAUUAGUAUAGUAAUAAAACAACAUCUAGAGCCAGAGGUCGUCUACAGUACCUAGUGAGUGAUCAGAAUCAUACCUUCAUUUAAAGAGGAUGAUUUCUAGACAUCAGGGCACCAACCCCCAGCUUAUACCAACAUCCAGUCAACAAGGCAACAGGCAUAUCAUUCAAUGAUCAUCUAGGGCUAACUUAAAGACUAUCCUGUCUCUACUUCACUGUGACAUCAACAAAAAUUAUACGACAACAUCUAGCCCCCCAAAUUA